GACUGUCGCUGGCCUUUCUCGAGGCAUGUGCACGCCCUCUAGUGGACUUUCGCCGUAUGGGCGCGGGGCGACCCCCGUCUUCAUAUACCUCUUCGUGUAGAAAGUCUUUGAAUGUUUUUACAAUCAUCGAGUCGUGACUUCUAGGAGACGCGAUUCUUUGAGACAAAAGUUAUCACAACUUUCAGCAAUGGAUCUCUUGGCUCUCGCAUCGAUGAAGAACGCAGCGAAUCGCGAUAUGUAAUGUGAAUUGCAGAUCUACAGUGAAUCAUCGAAUCUUUGAACGCACCUUGCGCUCCUCGGUGUUCCGAGGAGCAUGCCUGUUUGAGCGUCAGUAAAUUCUCAACCCCUCUCGAUUUGCUUCGAGUGGGGCUUGGAUAGUGGGGGCUGCCGGAGACCCGGAAUUCAUUCCGGGACUCGGGCUCCUCUGAAAUGCAUCGGCUUGCGGUCGACUUUCGACUUUGCGCGACAAAGCUUUCGGCGUGAUAAUGAUCGCCGUUCGCUGAAGCGCAUGAAUGAAUGGUCCCGUGCCUCUAAUCAGUCGACGCCUUCUGGGCGUCUUCCUUAUAGACGUUUGACCUCAAAUCAGGUAGGACUACCCGCUGAACUUAAGCAUAUCAAUAAGCGGAGGAAAAGAAACUAACAAGGAUUCCCCUAGUAACUUGCGAGUGAACCGGGAAAAGCUCA
rnacentral:rRNA from 1 species